GAUGAACGCUGGCGGCGUGCCUAAUACAUGCAAGUCGAGCGAACUUACGAGAAUCUUGCUUCUCUGAUGUUAGCGGCGGACGGUUGAGUAACACGUUGAUAACCUACCUAUAAUACUGGGAUAACUUCGGGAAACCGGAGCUAAUACCGGAUAAUAUUUUGAACCUCUUGGUUCAAAAUUGAAAGACGGUCUUUCUGUCACUUAUAGAUGGAUCCGCGCUGCAUUAGCUAGUUGGUAAGGUAACGGCUUACCAAGGCAACGAUGCAUAGCCGACCUGAGAGGGUGAUCGGACACACUGGAACUGAGACACGGUCCAGACUACUACGGGAGGCAGCAGUAGGGUAUCUUCAGCAAUGGGCGAAAGCCUGACGGAGCAACGCCGCGUGAGUGAUGAAGGUCUCCGGAUCGUAAAACUCUGUUAUUAGGGAAGAACAUAUGUGUAAGUAACUGUGCACAUCUUGACGGUACCUAAUCAGAAAGCCACGGCUAACUACGUG
rnacentral:rRNA from 1 species